rnacentral:rRNA from 1 species
UGGGGAAUUUUGGACAAUGGGCGAAAGCCUGAUCCAGCAAUGCCGCGUGUGUGAAGAAGGCCUUCGGGUUGUAAAGCACUUUUGUCCGGAAAGAAAUCCUUGGCUCUAAUACAGUCGGGGGAUGACGGUACCGGAAGAAUAAGCACCGGCUAACUACGUGCCAGCAGCCGCGGUAAUACGUAGGGUGCAAGCGUUAAUCGGAAUUACUGGGCGUAAAGCGUGCGCAGGCGGUUUGCUAAGACCGAUGUGAAAUCCCCGGGCUCAACCUGGGAACUGCAUUGGUGACUGGCAGGCUAGAGUAUGGCAGAGGGGGGUAGAAUUCCACGUGUAGCAGUGAAAUGCGUAGAGAUGUGGAGGAAUACCGAUGGCGAAGGCAGCCCCCUGGGCCAAGUACUGACGCUCAUGCACGAAAAGCGUGGGGAGCAAACAGGAUUAGAUACCCUGGUAGUCCACGCCCUAAAACGAUGUCAACUAGUUGUUGGGGAAUUCAUUUUCCUUAGUAACGUAGCUAACGCGUGAAGUUGACCGCCUGGGGAGUAACGGUCGCAAGAUUAAAAACUCAAAUAAUUGACGGGGUCAUGCUGUUUCCU